CAGAAACUAGUUUAUUAAAACAGUUAUUUUGGGUAUAACAGAUACAGACAACCUUAUUAAUUCUGUGUUUCUGA
rnacentral:tRNA from 1 species